GACGAACGCUGGCGGCGUGCUUAACACAUGCAAGUCGAACGGAAAGGCCCUGCUUUUGUGGGGUGCUCGAGUGGCGAACGGGUGAGUAACACGUGAGUAACCUGCCCUUGACUUUGGGAUAACUUCAGGAAACUGGGGCUAAUACCGGAUAGGAGCUCCUGCUGCAUGGUGGGGGUUGGAAAGUUUCGGCGGUUGGGGAUGGACUCGCGGCUUAUCAGCUUGUUGGUGGGGUAGUGGCUUACCAAGGCUUUGACGGGUAGCCGGCCUGGGAGGGUGACCGGCCACAUUGGGACUGAGAUACGGCCCAGACUCCUACGGGCGGCAGCAGUGGGGAAUAUUGCACAAUGGGCGGAAGCCUGAUGCCGCAACGCCGCGUGCGGGAUGACGGCCUUCGGGUUGUAAACCGCUUUCGCCUGUGACGAAGCGUGAGUGACGGUAAUGGGUAAAGAAGCACCGGCUAACUACGUG
rnacentral:rRNA from 1 species